UGCCAAGUCGAGCGGAGUGAUGGUGCUUGCACUAUCACUUAGCGGCGGACGGGUGAGUAAUGCUUAGGAAUCUGCCUAUUAGUGGGGGACAACAUUUCGAAAGGAAUGCUAAUACCGCAUACGUCCUACGGGAGAAAGCAGGGGAUCUUCGGACCUUGCGCUAAUAGAUGAGCCUAAGUCGGAUUAGCUAGUUGGUGGGGUAAAGGCCUACCAAGGCGACGAUCUGUAGCGGGUCUGAGAGGAUGAUCCGCCACACUGGGACUGAGACACGGCCCAGACUCCUACGGGAGGCAGCAGUGGGGAAUAUUGGACAAUGGGCGCAAGCCUGAUCCAGCCAUGCCGCGUGUGUGAAGAAGGCCUUAUGGUUGUAAAGCACUUUAAGCGAGGAGGAGGCUACUGAAGUUAAUACCUUCAGAUAGUGGACGUUACUCGCAGAAUAAGCACCGGCUAACUCUGUGCCAGCAGCCGCGGUAAUACAGAGGGUGCAAGCGUUAAUCGGAUUUACUGGGCGUAAAGCGCGCGUAGGCGGCUAAUUAAGUCAAAUGUGAAAUCCCCGAGCUUAACUUGGGAAUUGCAUUCGAUACUGGUUAGCUAGAGUGUGGGAGAGGAUGGUAGAAUUCCAGGUGUAGCGGUGAAAUGCGUAGAGAUCUGGAGGAAUACCGAUGGCGAAGGCAGCCAUCUGGCCUAACACUGACGCUUAGGUGCGAAAGCAUGGGGAGCAACAGGAUUAGAUACCCUGGUAGUCCAUGCCGUAAACGAUGUCUACAAGCCUUUGGGGCCUUUGAGGCUUUAGUGGCGCAGCUACGCGAUAAGUAGACCGCCGGGGAGUACGGUCGCAAGACUAAAACUCAAUGAAUUGACGGGGGCCCGCACAAGCGGUGGAGCAGGUGGUUUAAUUCGAUGCAACGCGAAGAACCUUACCUGGCCUUGACUUAGUAAGAACUUUCCGAGAUGGAUUGGUGCCUUCGGGAACUUACAUACGGGUGCUGCAGGGCUGUCGUCAGCUCGUGUCGUGAGAUGUUGGGUUAAGUCCCGCAACGAGCGCACCCUUUUCCUAUUUGCCGCG
rnacentral:rRNA from 1 species